AGCCACAGCCAUAUCACCCUGCAGCCCAAGACCGGUUACUCACUGAAGCUAAGCAGGGCUGAGCCUGGUCAGUACCUGGAUGCGAGACCCUAUGGGAAAACUAGAUUGCUGUUGGAA
rnacentral:rRNA from 1 species